ensembl:lncRNA
ACAAAUCAUUGCAAAGCAACUUUACAGAAAAUUAAGUUUCUACAUGUAAAUGGAUGUAAAUCCCGUGGCAAAAAAGAGAAACAAUUAGAGACAUAAUUAGCAUAGCUGCUGUUCCAGCCAAGUAAAAUUAAUUAGUUUAACCCAAGCUAAAGAAUAAUAAUGUGCAUUUGAUUAGAUAUAACUGCAGUCCAAAAUUAUGUAAAAAUUAUGUAACAGUGACAUGUAACAGUGGCAUGCACUGUACAAAGGUUCUAGAUCAUAUCAUUUUCAAAAAGUUUUUGAUUACUGAAAGUUUUAUUGGAAAGAUGUGUUGUCAGUUGAACAAUUAGUAUGUUGAUCAACAAUAGUACAAUCCAUUGAACACCCUGUACUUCUAUCCCAUCUUUCCCUUCUGCCCUGACUAAUGUCUGUCCUCUCUUAACUUGGUAUAUUCAGAACAUUUAUAGCUUUUAAAGUGCUUGUGUCUAUUUUGCCAGAUUUGGCAGAUUUGUCAGUGUCCACUUCUCCUGCUACAACAACAUCAGCUUCUCCUCCAGUUUCUCCUCCAGUGCGCUCAACAUCAGUCUAUCCUCCACAAACUCCUCCAGCAGCGUCUCUCUCCGUCCCCCCAGUGCUUGUGAUUGUUCUGGGAGUUGUGCUCUUACUGCUCUUAGUGCCACUGCUUAUACUGAUUCAGCAGAACAGAGUGAUGAGGAGAGCUCUCUCUAAGAGGAGACACAGGACGAAGACUGAGGCCGUUUAUGAGGAGAUUCAGCACAGGCACAAUCACUUCACUCAGAGGGGUGAGUGGAAUAAAUCACACUGAUUUAUUUGUGGGACCUUGAGUGUUAUUUGAAAUUAUAGUAUUAGUGUUGAGUGAUCCAAAGGAAGUGGGGGGUUUUGGCAGAUUUGUGAUUGUGAACAUCUGUCUGAUGGUUCUACUCCAUAACAGGAAGUGUCCUCUCUGAAGAACAGCAUUCUGGGUAUGAAGAUGCUGAUGAGCUUCUUUCAGGUUGGAGGGCUUAAAUAUAGUUAUGUCAUCCGCUACUAAACAG